GCAGUGGUGGUUCUGUGGUAGAAUUCUUGCCAUCCAUGCAGGAGACCUGGGUUCAAUUCCCAGCCAGUGUA
rnacentral:tRNA from 1 species